AUGACCUCCACCAUGGCCUGGUCCCCGCUCCUCCUCAGCCUCCUCGCUCACUGCACAGGGUCCUGGGCCCAGUCUGUGCUGACUCAGCCGCCCUCCGUGUCUGGGGCUCUGGGCCAGACGGUCACCAUCUCCUGCACUGGAAGCAGCUCCAACAUUGGGCGUGGUAAUUAUGUGAGCUGGAUCCAACAGCUCCCAGGAAAAACCCCUAAAACUGUCAUCUAUGGUGCUAGCAGUCGACCCUCGGGGGUCCCUGCUAGGUUCUCUGGCUCCAGGUCUGGCAACUCUGCCACCCUGACCAUCACUGGGCUCCAGGCUGAGGACGAGGCUGAGUAUUACUGUGCAUCGGGGGACAGCAGUCUCAGUGCUCACACAGUGCUCCCGGCCUGCGGGGAA